rnacentral:lncRNA from 1 species
GAUGGUCCGAAGCAUAGUAAGGGUCAUUAUAACCAACAUACUUCCCAUCAGCAGCAGCAGCACCAUCACCAGGGACAGCAAGGUUAUUAUCACCAUAGUGCAAAAAAGGGGAAGUAUGCAGGGAGCAGUGGUACAGGCGGUGGGCACCUGAUGGCACCAAGCCAUGGCGCAACUGUCCCUGCCGUCGGGUUCAAUCCUUCAGUGGCACCUGCAGCUUUAGGACAGGCAGUGGCAGCUUUGUUGGCAACACAGGGUGCAGGCUUAGGUAUUGGGAAUUUGCUUGGAGGGAUAGGUGGUAUGAAUCCUCAGGGAGCAAUGCCAGGGAUGAGCAAUGCGGGUUAUGGAGGUCAGAGUGGU